ensembl:ncRNA VC5.8 ncRNA
AAGCUUCGUCGUUCCUUUUUGAAAUGUUUGUCUUGUUUACCUACUCGAAAUUGAGUCGAAUGAAGGAAUAAGGAUGUAUGGACACUUUUUCCCGUUUACUUCGUUCUCUCUUUUUGCAACACUCGUUAAUUCACUAAUGUGACAUUUCAUGGCACCUCUACACUAUUUUCUAAUGUAAAUUAGGGAAGGUGCG